ACGGAGGGUGCGAGCGUUAAUCGGAAUUACUGGGCGUAAAGCGCAUGCAGGUGGUUCAUUAAGUCAGAUGUGAAAGCCCGGGGCUCAACCUCGGAACUGCAUUUGAAACUGGUGAACUAGAGUACUGUAGAGGGGGGUAGAAUUUCAGGUGUAGCGGUGAAAUGCGUAGAGAUCUGAAGGAAUACCAGUGGCGAAGGCGGCCCCCUGGACAGAUACUGACACUCAGAUGCGAAAGCGUGGGGAGCAAACAG
rnacentral:rRNA from 1 species